rnacentral:rRNA from 1 species
GACAGAGGUGCCGAGCGUUAGGCGGAAUCACUGGGCUUAAAGCGUGUGUAGGCGGCCCGUUAAGUGUCUUGUGAAAUCCCCCGGCUCAACCGGGGAACGGCUGGGCAUACUGGCGGGCUUGGGUCGCUCAGGGGCAGACGGAACAGGCGGUGGAGCGGUGAAAUGCGUAGAUAUCGGAAGGAACGCCGGUGGCGAAAGCGAUCCGCUGGACCUCUUCUGACGCUGAGGCGCGAAAGCCAGGGGAGCAAACGGG